GACGAACGCUGGCGGCGUGCUUAACACAUGCAAGUCGAACGGACAGGCCCUGCUUUUGUGGGGUUGUCGAGUGGCGCACACGGGAGAAUCACAUGUGUAUCCUGCCCUUUUCUGUCGGGGAACUCCAGGAGACAGGGGCUCAUACCGGAUAUGAGCUCCUGCUGCAUGGUGGGGGUUGGAGAGUUGCGGCGGUUGGGGAUGGACUCGCGGCUUAGCAGCUUGUUGGUGGGGUAGUGGCUUACCAAGGCUUUGACGGGUAGCCGGCCUGAGAGGGUGACCGGCCACAUGGCGACUGAGCUACGGCGCAGACUCGUACGGGAGGCAGCAGUGGGGAAUGUUGCACAAUGGGGCGACGUCUGGUGCAGGAACGCGGCGUGCGGGAUGACGGCCUUUGGGUUGUGAACCGCUGUCGCCGGUGAUGUGGCGGGAGUGACGGUAACGGGUAAAGAAGCACCGGCUAACUACGUG
rnacentral:rRNA from 1 species